rnacentral:misc_RNA from 1 species
GAUGGCCUGGAAAGUCCGCGAAGCGUUCAUUGCUAAAAACCCGCCGGGAUGAACCGGCGGGCCUUUAUGCAUUCAGGCAGUCGUCGUUCAGACCGCGUCUUUUNNNNNNNNNCAGCUUUAACGGGCCGCGCCCGGACGAUCUUGCGCGCCGGCUUGGCCUUGAAGGUCAUCGGCUCGCCGGUGAAGGGGUUGGUGCCCUUGCGCGCCUUGGUGGCCGGCUUCUUGAUCACAACGAACUUCGCGAAACCGGGCAGCAGGAACACGCCCGACUUCUUCAGUUCCUUGUAGCCAAUGCUGGCGAGGGUCUCGAGGACGCCCUUGACGUC